rnacentral:rRNA from 1 species
GCCAGUGACGAUACUACAUUGACCGCCACUAGUUCCUCCAUUGGAUCACUGAAGUUAAGCAAACGAUGGGCGUGGUUAUUAUCCGGAUGGGUGACCAUCUGGGUAAUCGCGUGUUGUUUCUC